AGGAGUGGAGCCUGCGGCUUAAUUUGACUCAACACGGGAAACCUCACCAGGCCCAGACACUGGAAGGAUUGACAGAUUGAGAGCUCUUUCUUGAUUCAGUGGGUGGUGGUGCAUGGCCGUUCUUAGUUGGUGGAGCGAUUUGUCUGGUUAAUUCCGAUAACGAACGAGACUCUAGCCUACUAAAUAGACGUUAAACUUUCCAGUAUCUCGAAGGCUCACAUCUCUUGUUUCCUUACUCUAUAGCACCAAUUCACUUCGGUGUUUUGACUGUUAUGGGUGGGCAGGAGUUUGUGGUUUUUACUACUGGCGUACAUAUAUAUCUUCUUAGAGGGACAGGCGGCUUCUAGCCGCACGAGAUUGAGCAAUAACAGGUCAGUGAUGCCCUUAGAUGUUCUGGGCCG
rnacentral:rRNA from 1 species